GAUGAACGCUGGCGGCGUGCCUAACACAUGCAAGUCGAACGAACAGUUCAGGAGCUUGCUCGUCUGACGUUAGCCGCGGACGGGAGAGUCACACGUGUAUAACCUACCUAUCAGACUGGGAUCAUUUCGGGAAACCGGAUCUUAUACCGUAUAAUAUAUUGCACCGCAUUGGUCAAUAGUGAAAUUCGGUUUUUCUGUCACUUAUAGAUGGAUCCGCGCCGCAUUAGCUAGUUGGUAAGGUAACGGCUUACCAAGGCUACGAUGCGUAGCCGACCUGAGCGCGUGGUCGGCGACACUGGAAGUGAGACAGGGUCCAGACGCCUGCGGGAGGCCGCAGUAGGGAAUCUUCCGCAAAAGUCGAGAGCCUGACAGAGCACCGCGGAGUGAGUGAUGAAGGUGUUCUGAUCGGAAAACUCUGUUAUUAGGUGAGAACAAAUGUGUAAGUACCUAUGCAGGUCGUGACGGUAACUAAUAAAAAAGCCCCGGCUAACUACGUG
rnacentral:rRNA from 1 species